rnacentral:rRNA from 1 species
UACGUAGGGUGCAAGCGUUAAUCGGAAUAACUGGGCGUAAAGGGUGCGUAGGCGGUUUGAAAAGUCUGAUGUGAAAUCCCCGGGCUCAACCUGGGAACGGCAUUGGAAACUAUCAAGCUAGAGUGCGUCAGAGGGGGGUAGAAUUCCACGUGUAGCAGUGAAAUGCGUAGAGAUGUGGAGGAAUACCGAUGGCGAAGGCAGCCCCCUGGGAUGACACUGACGCUGAAGCACGAAAGCGUGGGGAGCAAACAGG